GAGUGUGUGUGUAGUAGGUUAGGUAGUUGGCGGCGGCGGCGGCGGCGGCGGCGGGUUUCUCUCUCUACACCUCUCGGCGGUGGCUUGGCGAUCGUAGAGAGAGAGAGAUGGCGACGAAGAGAAAUGGGGGAAACGGGGGGUCGUUUUAAACGAGCCCCACCCGCCCCUGCCCGCGUUGAAAUUCUCGUCUAACUAAAGAAGGGAAAAAAAAAGGGGCAGGUGAGGAGGGGAG
rnacentral:lncRNA from 1 species